rnacentral:rRNA from 1 species
UACGAAGGGGGCUAGCGUUGUUCGGAUUUAUUGGGCGUAAAGAGCUCGUAGGUGGCCUGUCGCGUCGGCUGUGAAAACUCGGGGCUCAACUCCGAGCUUGCAGUCGAUACGGGCAGGCUAGAGUUCGGCAGGGGAGACUGGAAUUCCUGGUGUAGCGGUGAAAUGCGCAGAUAUCAGGAGGAACACCGGUGGCGAAGGCGGGUCUCUGGGCCGAUACUGACACUGAGGAGCGAAAGCGUGGGGAGCGAACAGG